AACAACAAAACCAAAACAACCUGUGGACAGUUGUGCAGUUGGUAAGCCUGACUGAUGCAACUUUGACAAAAUACAGAAUUUACUUCACCAGGAAUCGUACAAACUGACAUGGGUUGCCAGCCGUGGGAUGGAUGGAGAGGGACGCCUCUUCAGCAGGAUUUACCGACUGUCUCGAAAGUCCGCUGAACGUUAUUGUGAGGAUUGCCAAGUACUCCCGAGCCAACCGCCCUGCGCUCUUAAAAACCUAGAGUAAAGGCAGGGAUGGAGUGAUGGUAGCCAGCUGAGCACUAUUUAGAAAAUACGUCUAACCACCCAGCUGCUGUAGCACACGCCUUUUAUCCCAGUAGAACUAAGAAGGCCGAGGCGGGUGGGUCCCAGCAAGUGUGAGGCCAGUGUAACCUUUCUCAUGAGCUCCGGGGUAGCCAGCUAAAGCCACAUAUUGAGAAACUGUCUCCCUCCCACCCCACCCAACAAAAGGAGUAAGGCAGACAUCGGGCAAAAAGUGUUCUUCUCUGUAUACACAUAUACAUGUAGGCAAAACACUCAUACACAUAAAGAUAAAAAUCUCAAAAGAGAAAAAGGCUUCCAUGGGACAAGUCCAUGGGGAGAAAGCGAGACCCCUAUGACAUCAUCUGACUUCUCCAUCUUGAUUUUUGUCUACGGCCUUGGCUUGGUUUAAAGCCUUCAUACAUUCUGCUUUUCUCCAGAUUAAGCCCCAACAUCUUUGAUUUUGAAGCCAUAUUUGGCUUUUAGACUCUACCUUUAAAAAAAAAAACCUGUCGGUGGCAGGUGGGGAUGUCCACACUUUGGAGGUCAGAGGUCAACCGGUGAGGGUGUGUUCUCUCUGUCCCGUGGGUUCCAGGGUCAGCUCAGGUCAGUGGGCUUGGUAACAAGUACCUUUACCUGCUGAGCCCUCUUAUCAGCCUUCCUGAGUUGCUUUCUAAAACAAGUUUCUGUUUGAAAGGAGAGCUGGGUUAAGUGUUUUGGUUGGCUGUCAAAUACCAAUUUUCCAUGGAUCCUCUGAAUUGGGUACAGCUGUUCCUGGCUGUCCUGUGGUCAGAAGCAUUGUCCAGUCCCAGGGAGGUGGGGAGAGAAUCCUGGCAUUCAUCCUAGGCUAUAGUGGGCCAGAGUGUUCUUGUUGAAAUGCAAAUCUGAGCCGUCCUGCGCCCAGCUGAACAGGCCUAGCCAGCUGCCCAGUUCCUACAGCGUCUGCAACACUGGGUCACACUCUGAAUUCAUGGGUUUGGCAGGCACCGUUAUUUCCAUCUUUAUUUAGCAUCUAAAAUUUGAGAUGUGAAUAGUUUAUGUGGAGAUCAUGGACGUUAACAUUUCAAUCUGUGGAUUCUGUGCACAUGAUUGUUAAAUUGAGAUUUUUUUUUUUUAAAAAAAAGGUGUGUGUGUGUGUGUUUGUGUGUGUGUGUGUGUGUGUGUGUGUGUGUGUGUGUGUGUUUCUGGGGGUCAACUCUAGAACCUUGCAAGGGCUGGGUAACUGAGUAUUUAGCAUUGGGCUAAAGCCUUAGCUCUUGUGUUAUCAGAUGGGGUCUGAUCGGUUCCUAUCGUGGCUCUGCAGAUUGAACCAGGGCCUGCACGGACUAAAGGCAAACACUUUAACAUUGAACUGUGUCCCAGACAUUGGCCUUGAACUCUUGAUUCUCCUGUCUCUCCCCAAGUACUAGCUAAAAUGAUUCUCAGGAUGGGGAAAUACUUCUUCUUCAGUGGUGUAGCCAUUAAUACUUGCUCAUGCUCCAAAAAAUAAGCCCUCCCUUCAUGCUAGUGGGAAAAAGUCCUAAUUAAACUCAGUAGCCCCCUCUCUUACAUGCACAGGCACAGCACACAUGCACACUCUCGAUCACACAGGACAUGAUGGUUUGUUAAAGAGAGAAGGGUUUCAUCGGGAGAGGGAGGGGGAUGAGAGAGGGUAACAGAAGUUUGGAUGACCAAAAGAUCAAAAUUCACUAUACAGAGAGGCAUAAAAUUAUAAAGGAAUAAAAAAAAUAUAUUCUUACCCAGACAAUGGAAUAAUUUAGAAUUAAGAAAUGAGUUGUCAAGUCAUGAAAAGAACCUCACGUGGGUCUUAACUCAAGAAGCCAGAGGAACAAAAAGGCUACAUACCAUUUUAUUCCAACCAGAGGAUGCUCUGGACAAAUAAUGAAGACAGCAAAAAGAUCAGUGGUCCUGGAGCUGAGGGAUGAGAGGUGGAGGCACUCAGGACUGUCAGGACGUGGAGAUUAAGUGUCUCUGUGUGAACUAAAUCCUUACAGUAAACCCUAAUGUAAACUAUGGUCUUUGGAUGAGAACGCUGUGCCAAUGUAGGGUCACCAGGUACAAGAAGUGGGCGUCUUUUAAAAUUAAAAUAGUUUACACUUAAUUUUCUCUGUGUUAGUGUAUGUAUGGGGUUGUGUCUAGGGAGGUCAGUGGAUCUCUUGUAGGGCUUGGGUCUUUCUACCAUAUGGGUUCUGGGCAUUGAACUAGGGUCCUCAGGCUUGGUGGCAAAGACUUUUAUCCACUAAGCAUCUCACUUGCCUCAAAAUGUUGGGAACGCUAGUGGAGGAGGGAUUUUGGUUCCCAGGAAAGGGGUCUUGUGGGAGCUGCUUUCUGCUCAGAAAGCCCAGACUGUCUGAGCAGGCAUGUUUAGGAGUGCCAGCCAGGGAAUCUGAGUGGAAAGGAUACCCAGUUCUAGACUCUUGCAGUCCAGUGAUGCCUGAUACACAAACAGCUUAUUUAAGAAAGAGAAGGGCAAAGGCUGGAGCGGCGGGCGGUUAGCGAGCUGAGGAAAGGGCUCCCAUGAUGCUUCACGAAACAUUACUCGACACCGACCUUGAUCGCCGGAAGAAGAGAGCAGAGCACAGAUAUGUAUGUGCACAGAGGAAAGACCAGGCAAAGAUACCAGACGACGGCCCUCAACGAACCGAGCACAGAGACCUUAGAGGGAAAGAAAAGCUCUUUAAAAAAUGAAUUAAUUAAAAAUUGAUUAUUCUUGUGUGUA